rnacentral:rRNA from 1 species
UCCAGACUCCUACGGGAGGCAGCAGUGAGGAAUAUUGGUCAAUGGCCGGGAGGCUGAACCAGCCAAGCCGCGUGAAGGACGAAGGUGCCAAGCAUUGUAAACUUCUUUUGUCGAGGGACAAAAUCAGGCUCGAGAGCCUGACCGAGGGUACUUGAAGAAAAAGCAUCGGCUAACUCCGUGCCAGCAGCCGCGGUAAUACGGAGGAUGCGAGCGUUAUCCGGAUUUAUUGGGUUUAAAGGGUGCGUAGGCGGACUGUUAAGGCAGGGGUAAACGCCCGGGGCCCACCCCCGGCGAGCCGUUGAAACUGGCUGUCUUGAGAUGUCGAGAGGUAUGCGGAAUGCGCAGUGUAGCGGUGAAAUGCUUAGAUAUUGCGCAGAACUCCGAUUGCGAAGGCAGCAUACCGGCGCUCAACUGACGCUCAUGCACGAAAGUGUGGGUAUCGAACAGGAUUAGAUACCCCAGUA